UGGGAAUGUAAUAAUAUGAGUUUCUGACUAUUAUAAUAGGUACUAAUUAGUAAAGUAUCUUUCAGAUUUCCGACUAACGAAGAUGUAAGAAAAACAUGGCUCAAAUUAAUUAACUAAAUAUGCCACUUUAUGUAGCAAACAUUUUGAUAGUAAAUGUUUUCGAAAAAUUGGAGCCAGAAUCACGUUGAAAAAAUGUGCAAUCCCUACAGAGUUUGUUCCGAUGAAAGUAAAGCCUACACGCACAAUGUCGUCGUACGUGAACAGAGAUAUUUUACCAGAGGGAUCUACAUUAUCGUCUAGAUCUCCGCCGCCGACACCACAGCUUCAGAAUUAUCAUUUUUAUUUAUUGACUUACUCUUACUAAUUAGAAAUCAGAAAGUUUGUAUGGAUGUCUUGAUGUUUGUUGCUCUUUCAAUUAAAUCAGUUAAAUCAUUUUAAUCUUCUGAGUUUUAUUUUUAUUUUCCACUCUCCCAUAUACGGAUUGUAUAUGGACAUUCUAUCCUAUUUUAGUUCCAUUAAUAUUACUACUGUUAGGUGUUAAUUAAUAUAAAUCGAUAUCGAUAUUCAUG